GUGCCACCAGGGAAGCCCACUACUGCAUUUUUUUAUUAAUGUUUGUAGUUUAUAUUUUUCCAUAAUUUUAUUUUUAACAUUUACAUCAUUAUAUUUGAAGUAAGUUUCUUGUGACAGCAUGUAGUUGGGGUCAUACUUUUUUUUUUUAAUCCAUUAUGCCACUUUUAAUUCGUAGGUUUAGAUCAUUUAAAAUAAUUAUUGAUAUGUUAGAGCUUAACUGUACCAUUUUAUUAAUCUUUUUUGUGUGUGUGUUCCCUUUGUAUUAUUCCUCUUGUUUUCCAGUUUUUAUUAUUUGGGUUCCCCCACCCCAUUUCCUGUGGGUUAUUUUAAUAUUUUUUAGAAUUCCAUUUGAUACGUCUGUAAUGUUUUUGAGUAUAUAUCUUAAUUUUCUUUACGUAUUGUAUUAUGUAUACAUAACUUAUCACAGACUGUUACCAGCAUUUUAGCACUUUGAUGUAUAGAAACCUUGAUUCCAUUAGGUUCACCUACAUUCCCUAUUCUUAAUAUAAUUGUUGUAUUUUCUCGUUGUAUACUGAGAACUAUAUUGGAUAUUGUAAUUUUUGCCUCAACUAAGUUUUUUUUUUUUUCCCCCCACAAAAUUCAUGAGAAGCAUAGUCUGUUUACCUCUACUUUUACCAUUCCAUUGUUGUUUCUCCAUUCUUGAAGUCCCAAGUCUUCUGUUAACAUUUCCAUUCUGUUCGGCAAAUUUCCUGUGGCCUUUUUUCUAGGGUAUGUCUGCUGUUAACAAAUGUUUUUUCUUUCUUCAUCUAAAAAUGUCUUUAUGUUCACUUCAUUCCUGAAGGAUAUUUUUGUGCGACAUAAGACUUGGGGUCCACAGUUCUUUUAGGACAAAAGAAAACAUGUCUGUUUUUUCUUCUGUCAAACUCCUUUUGUCCAGCAUGGUUUCAGAUGAGAAACCUGCCUUUCAACUCAUUGUUCCUCUAUUUGAAAGGCAUCCUUUCCGUCAGGUGCUUUCAAAGUGUUUUUUAUUAUAAUAUUCAGUUUAUGAUGUGUCCUGGCAUAGCAUUUUUAGGGUUUAUCCUGUUUGGUGUUUUCUCAGCUUUUUGAAUCAUGUGGUGUAUGCUCUUUGCCAAAUUUGGGAGAUUUUUUGUUAUUUUUCAAGUAUGUUUUCAACCCCACGCUUUUUCUCCUCUCAGGGACUCCAGUAACGUGAAUGAUAAUUCUCACAUUCUUGUUCCAUAGGACCCUCAGGCUCCCAUCUUUUUGUUUCCACCAGUCUGUUUUUCUCUGUUCCGCACAUUGAUUAACUUUCAUUGAUCUCCCUUUGAGCUCACUGGUUUCUUUCUGUCUCAUAUAUAAUCUACUAUUGAGCUCACCCAGUGAGUUUUCAUUUUGGUUUUUGAAUUUUCCAGUUGUUUGAUUUCCAUUUGGUUCUUUUAUACAUCUUCUGUAUUUUUGCCUAGCUUAUAAUGCCAAAGAAGGACUCUGAGAAAGCAGGCAAAACUGUAUAGUCCAAGGUCAAGGUUCUCUGGUGGUUUAUCUUGAUGUUGGGAUAGAACCCCUAGAUUAACUGGAGAAAUGAAAAGCCUGGUAUCCACAAGAAUUUCUGAGAACAGAUCUUACAACUGAGACCCGUAGAUUGUUCAGAGUUGUGUUUAAGGUGCCUGGAUUCUCCGUGAAUCCUACUGUCUUCUGCCUUGUUGCCGAAGCCAGACACACUUUGCAGCCAUUUUUUCAUCAUCACCCACAUCCAGCCACUGUCCCAUUCUGUUCUUUUUUUCCUAGUAGACACUCAGUAUAUGUGUGUUCUAGUGAAUGGCUACAUGCAGCAGGGAAUUUAUAUUAUAAUGUUUGGCUCCCUCACAGUGUUUACACAAAGCUGUGUAUAUAGUUGGCACCGUAUAGAACAUAUGUUGACCUUGAAGAAAAUCCACACAAGCUUUUAUGGCCAGAUCAUAGUCAUAAUGAAUGAUUGUUUUGGGUCAUCAAAGACCACCCUCAGUUGCAGUAAUUUGCUGAUUCACAGUACUCUGCGUAUUUUUACAGUCAACAGCUGUGCUUAUUACACCAAAAGGUGCAAAGCAAACUCAGCCAAGGGAAAAGGCACAAGGACUGAAGUCCAGAGGAAACCAGGGACAAUCUGCAGUGGUCCUGUCUCAGGGAAGUCACACAGGAUGGGCCUAAUUUAAGCUCCAUCAAGGAGUUAACAGCAAUAGAUUGAAAUGUCUACUGGGGGGAAGCUAAUUAGAGACCCAGUGCCCAGGGUUUCUUGGGGACACUCUAGCACAUACCAAAUUCUAGACCUCUAGAAGGAUAGAUAGAUCUUUGGCAUUAAGCCACACAGUUAAACAAAAAACCUGGGCACACUGAGCCACUCGUCGUUUGUGGGAAUGAUGGGAAAUCUCCCAAAAUCUGAGGUCCCAAACCCCAGCCCUUGCAAAGGUGAACCUUGCAAGCUCAAGAGAAUAGCAGUCUCAGGCCUGCUGUGUUACGUCUUCAUAGUGACUUAAAUGGUACUAAGAUGCUGAUUAAUUCAGACUUCUGUAACAAACAUUAAGCAAAUACAGUUUCCUACAACAAAAAGUGAGUCAUAACUCUGAGGUGAAAUUGUAAAAAAAAAAAAAAAAUCAGUAAGCCAAAGUAGAACUUAACAAGCUAGCCAGGAUUUAAUUUAGUGAUGACAAAGUACAGAGGCAGUCUGGUGACAAAGUUCCUUAUCUCUUCCCAAUAUUAAUAUAUGUAUGUAUAUGUACGUGUAUGUAUGUACACCACUUGAGGCCAUAUAUAUGUAUAUAAAUGUGUAUAGACCUAAUAUAUAUGUAUUUCUGUGUGUGUAUAUAUAUACAGAUACAUGGCUUCAAGUGGUCUGACUUGGAAAUACACCCACUGCUUGCUUACGCUUAUCUAUAAAGAUGUAAAUGCCAGAUCAAUGCUGUGUGUUCCUAUAGCACGCAAGUCAACAAUUUCUUGUCUCUUUGUUCCUGCUGUUGAUGCUGUUUGCCUCUGUCUUCAACAAAGAGAGAAAUAAGGAAUAUGUGCAUCAUUCAGUGCACCUGACAAGAUUUAAUUAAAGACUUCGUUUCAGGCUUAGUCGCCUUCAUGAUCUAUGUGUGAGUUUCCCUAGGAGAGAAUGGGAGCCGGUGGCUCCAGCGGGGAGGGCCCUUGCUGGAGACAUGGUGCUGGACCCCUACAGGAAUCUGGUCUCUGGGAGUAUGUGCCUCUCCCCUUUGUACUCACACUCUGGCCUGCAGAUGACCUUUCCUGUCUCAGUUGUGGGAUGGGGGGGUGGUGCGGCUCUGGAAUGCUCAAUGAUGUCAUCCUUGAGAGUUGAGGGUUAAAGAUUUGUAAUCUGCUCACAGGUAGGUUACACACCUCACAGGUAAAGGUCUAAAUGGUAGAUGGGCAACUUUGCCUCCCUCAGAGCAGUGUCAGUGCCAUGGGCCCUGUGGUGUGACUUCCUGUUGGUACUUCCUGACCUGGUUCUUACCUGCUGGAAGACUUUUUAGAAAAUUCCUGGCCACGCCUCCUUCCCUUUGUUUUGGAUAUCCAUGUGUUAAAGUAUGUGCUUUUAUUCUGAAGUUCUAACAUUUGGGACCUUGCUGAUCCUGUAGAGACUGCUCCUCCUAGAGCUAGCCGAUUCCUCCAGAUAAUUUUCCCCACUGGGUGUGCCUUUUAAAUGCAAACCAGCCAUUCCAGAGCCCAGACGCCACUACUACUGCCUUUACCAAGUUCUCAUGCUUCAAGACCCUUCCCUAGAUCCCAGGAAACUAAGGACAGCCCCUGCACUCUGAACUGUGCUGAAAUUAUCCCAGCUAGCUAACCCUAAACCUACUUAGCCUGCUUGCUUCCCCUGGCCCACUGCUCCCAGUGAAAAUGACAACACAGUCUUUGCCUACACUUCCGCCUCCAUCCUUUUGCCUCUGACUCCACACUAGUGCGUCCCCAUGUGACCCUGUGGAGCAUGGCGUGACCUCAUCUUACAGAACUGUAUUUCUUCAACGGCAAUCAUCUGUUGGCCUCAUAUCAGGAUACUAAAUCCUACAUUUUAAAACUGCCUGAAAGCGUUAAUGAGAGGAUAAAUACUAGGAAUAUAACAGAGCAAAUCAGGCAUUUCCAGAAACCAGGGUGUCAGUGCACCCAGCCAGAUGCAAUCUUUAAAUUGGAACGGUGUGGAGAGUCAUGGACAGAGGAAAGAACAAUGCCAAGGAGAGGCUGUCCAGGGAAACUUUCAUGGUUCUUUGCUGCCCAAGACCACCUUCAGGCUUGGUGGUUUACUAGGAGGAUUCACUAGACUCAGAAGAGGUGUGAUACUCAUGAUGACAGUUUAUUACAACAAAAAGACACAGACCAAGAUCACCAAAGGGAGAAGGCACGUGUAAUGAAGUCCGGGAGAAACCAAGCACCGCUUCCAGGUGAUCCCUCCCUGUGCAGCUCACAGGAACUCAAAUUUCAGCAAAGAUGUGUGACAACAUGUUCAGUUAUCGCCAACAAAGGAAGGUCACCCAAGCUUCAGAGUCCACAGAUUCCUUUACUGAGGCUCACAGCGCCUAAGUGACCUACCAUGGAUACUCAGGAUCCGCAGAAGGCAAAGAUGUAGUGCUGCCUCAGGCAAUACAAAGUCCACCCUUCAUCAUGAGUCACAUUGUUAGCAUAAAUUAUCUGGUCAUAAUGAUACAGUGGGACCUACAGGCGUAAGCAUAAAAAUCGCUCUCACUAGUCAAGAUAUUCCAAGGACUCAGAAGUGGUCUUCCUGGAGCUGGUCAAGGGCAAGUCCUUAUUUUUUUCUUUCUUUUUGCCACACUGCACGGCUUGUGGGAUCUUAGUUCCCCAGCCAGGGAUUGAACCCAGGCCCUCAGUAAUGAAAGUGCAGAGUCCUAACCACUGGACCACCAGGGAAGUCCCCCACAGGUACAUUUUAGAACACGUUCAGGUGCAUAUUAGAACCUCGUUACUAUGGCUGACAAAGUUCUACACAAUUUGCCUCCCUUUAUCUCUCCAACUUACCUCAUACCACUCUAGCCCCUGAAGAUGCAGCUCUAAGCCACGCUAGCCUUGCUUUUCUGCAAACACCCCAAUACACUCCGAACCCAGGAAUGUCUUUCUCAAAGACCUAGGAAUCCAUCUCUUUGAAAUGAAGACAUCAAAGGAGAUAGCAUCCCUACAUCCCAGCUUCUGUGGGAGGGUAGGAGCCUAACUUUGACAGGCACCUUGCUCCAAGUAGCAAAACUACCUCUGUCAUAAAGAAUUGAGAAGUUAGUUUUCCCUUCUAGAAAGCCAGUGUAACAGCAGAUAGUCACCCCAAUUACCAGGUAAAUUUAGGGUGAACUAUGUGUAACAAAUGGUGCUGUCAAUACUCGAGAACUAAUUAUUGUUUGAAAAUGUAUGUAAUGGGUUGUGUCUGUUUGGCUAUAUGAAAGGGUGAGUUUUAUUCUUUGCAAUCUCUUAGCAGCUGUGCUGUGCAUCACAUUCUGGUUUAAUGCUUAUACAAUAUUAAACUUUUAUUUCUCUACUAUC